rnacentral:rRNA from 1 species
UGCUUGCAUCAUGAUUUACAUUUGAGUGAGUGGCGAACUGGUGAGUAACACGUGGGAAACCUGCCCAGAAGCGGGGGAUAACACCUGGAAACAGAUGCUAAUACCGCAUAACAACUUGGACCGCAUGGUCCGAGCUUGAAAGAUGGCUUCGGCUAUCACUUUUGGAUGGUCCCGCGGCGUAUUAGCUAGAUGGUGGGGUAACGGCUCACCAUGGCAAUGAUACGUAGCCGACCUGAGAGGGUAAUCGGCCACAUUGGGACUGAGACACGGCCCAAACUCCUACGGGAGGCAGCAGUAGGGAAUCUUCCACAAUGGACGAAAGUCUGAUGGAGCAACGCCGCGUGAGUGAAGAAGGGUUUCGGCUCGUAAAACUCUGUUGUUAAAGAAGAACAUAUCUGAGAGUAACUGUUCAGGUAUUGACGGUAUUUAACCAGAAAGCCACGGCUAACUACGUGCCAGCAGCCGCGGUAAUACGUAGGUGGCAAGCGUUGUCCGGAUUUA